rnacentral:rRNA from 1 species
UCUAGUAUAAGCAAUUAUACGGCGAAACUGCGAAUGGCUCAUUAAAUCAGUUAUCGUUUAUUUGAUAGUACCUUACUACUUGGAUAACCGUGGUAAUUCUAGAGCUAAUACAUGCUUAAAAUCCCGACUCACGAAGGGAUGUAUUUAUUAGAUUAAAAACCAAUGCCCUUCGGGGCUCUUUGGUGAUUCAUAAUAACUUUUCGAAUCGCAUGGCCUUGCGCCGGCGAUGGUUCAUUCAAAUUUCUGCCCUAUCAACUUUCGAUGGCAGGGUCUUGGCCUGCCAUGGUGACAACGGGUAACGGAGGGUUAGGGCUCGACCCCGGAGAAGGAGCCUGAGAAACGGCUACUACAUCCAAGGAAGGCAGCAGGCGCGCAAAUUACCCAAUCCCGACUCGGGGAGGUAGUGACAAUAAAUACUGAUACAGGGCUCUUUUGGGUCUUGUAAUUGGAAUGAGUACAAUUUAAAUCCCUUAACGAGGAACAAUUGGAGGGCAAGUCUGGUGCCAGCAGCCGCGGUAAUUCCAGCUCCAAUAGCGUAUAUUAAAGUUGUUGCAGUUAAAAAGCUCGUAGUUGAACCUUGGGCCUGGCUGGCCGGUCCGCCUCACCGCGUGCACUGGUUCGGCCGGGCCUUUCCCUCUGGGGAACCGCAUGCCCUUCACUGGGUGUGUCGGGGAACCAGGACUUUUACUGUGAAAAAAUUAGAGUGUUCAAAGCAGGCCUAUGCUCGAAUACAUUAGCAUGGAAUAAUAGAAUAGGACGUGUGGUUCUAUUUUGUUGGUUUCUAGGACCGCCGUAAUGAUUAAUAGGGACAGUCGGGGGCAUCAGUAUUCAAUUGUCAGAGGUGAAAUUCUUGGAUUUAUUGAAGACUAACUACUGCGAAAGCAUUUGCCAAGGAUGUUUUCAUUAAUCAGGAACGAAAGUUAGGGGAUCGAAGACGAUCAG